GAUCCUGCCGGAGGUCACUGCUAUUGGGAUUCGAUUAAGCCAUGCGAGUCGAGAGGGUUCGGCCCUCGGCUGACGGCUCAGUAACACGUGGAUAAUCUGCCCUUAGGUGGAGGAUACCCUCGGGAAACUGAGAAUAAUACUCCAUAGGUCUAGGAUGCUGGAAUGCACUUAGACUGAAAAUUCCGGUGCCUAAGGAUGAGUCUGCGGACUAUCAGGUUGUAGUCAGGGUAAAGACCUGACUAGCCUAUGACGGAUACGGGUUGUGAGAGCAAUAACCCGGAGAUGAUAUCUGAGACACGAUAUCAGGCCCUACGGGGCGCAGCAGGCGCGGAAACUUCACAAUGUGCGAAAGCACGAUGAGGGAAUCCCAAGUGCUUGCACGUAAGUGCAAGCUGUUUCUAUGUCUAAAACACAUAGAGAGUAAGGGCUGGGUAAGACGGGUGCCAGCCGCCGCGGUAAUACCUGCAGCUCAAGUGGUGGCCGCUAUUAUUGGGCCUAAAACGUCCGUAGCCGGUUUAAUAAAUGCCUGGGUAAAUUGUAUAGCUUAACUAUACGAAUUCCGGGUAGACUGAUAAACUUGAGACCGGGGGAAGUUAGAGGUACUCCUGGGGUAGAGGUGAAAUUCUGUAAUCCUAGGGGGACCACCGGUGGCGAAGGCGUCUGACUAAAACGGGUCUGACGGUGAGGGACGAAGCCCUGGGGCGCAAACGGGAUUAGAUACCCCGGUAGUCCAGGGUGUAAACGCUGCUUGCUUGAUGUUAGUCGGGCUUCGAGCCCGAUUAGUGUCGGAGAGAAGUUGUUAAGCAAGCUGCCUGGGGAGUACGGCCGCAAGACUGAAACUUAAAGGAAUUGGCGGGGGAGCACAGCAACGGGUGGAGCGUGCGGUUUAAUUGGAUUCAACGCCGGG
rnacentral:rRNA from 1 species